rnacentral:misc_RNA from 1 species
GAUGAAGAACGCAGUGAAAUGCGAUAAGUAAUGUGAAUUGCAGAAUUCAGUGAAUCAUCGAAUCUUUGAACGCACAUUGCGCCCGCCAGUAUUCUGGCGGGCAUGCCUGUUCGAGCGUCAUUUCAACCAUCAAGCCCCAGGCUUGUGUUGGGGACCUGCGGCUGCCGCAGGCCCUGAAAACCAGUGGCGGGCUCGCUGUCACACCGGGCGUAGUAGAUUUUAUCUCGCUCAGGGCGUGCUGCGGGUCCCGGCCGUUAAAAGCCUUUUUUUACCCAAGGUUGACCUCGGAUCAGGUAGGGAUACCCGCUGAACUUAAGCAUAUCAAUAAGCGGAGGA